UAGUGCGCGGGGCGCUUAAGUGGAUACUAGCGAUGCUAGCAAGUUCGUUAGCUAGCUAACUUCAAAAAUAUCAUUUCGUUAAUAAUUUAAGCUCAAUUAUUAUCGUGAAUCAAAGCCUACGCUAGUAAUACGGAGAUUAGAUGAGGAAGCACCUGGAACAAUUUGACACGAAUGGAGAACAAAAAAAAAGAAGAGUGAAAUCAGUGGAGUUGCUGCCCACCGAAGCUAACGCAUCAGCGGCUAAUCACCGCCAGUUUAGAUCUCGGAUGUUUUAGUUACAUCGUCUCACAGACUGAGCUUCACAAACAGAUGCCCCGGCUGCUUGGCCUUAGAGAGAGACCUACCUGCCUGCCGCUUCAACUCCAACACUGGCUGACUUCAACUAAUGUUCUUCCCUGUAGAACUGCCGCCCUGCUCGGGACAGCUGGAGGACGACUGCAGCAGAGAGAUAGCGACGGCUCUUCCCCACUUCGAUACACAUCGUCGAAAGAUCUUGCCGGGUCAGACAACAGCCAUCGACACGUCUGUUUCAGCCGCUCCUGCUCGGCUUGUUGGGGACUGUGGGAGCAGUGAAGGGAAAAAGAAACAACUAGAGGAGGAGCAGAUUAUCUGUCGUGUUGUCCUUCACUAUUUGUCUCAGCUGCAUUAAAACGGACAGCGAUCCUCACAUUUAUGUGUACAAAUUGUCCCCGUUUACAUAUUCUUUUCUUUUAACUAUCACGCUUUAGCUGAAGGGACUAAUUGUCCCGCAGGCCUCCACUUGGAUAACAUUUAGACUUAGUACUUAAACUCACACACGGUUGCAUUAGUCCUGUUUUAAGGUGACGGUAAGAUUAAUGUCUCUCGA